rnacentral:rRNA from 1 species
UGGGGAAUUUUGCGCAAUGGGCGAAAGCCUGACGCAGCGACGCCGCGUGGGUGAUGAAGGCCUUCGGGUUGUAAAGCCCUGUGGGGAGGGAAGAAUAAGGGGCAGUUAAUAGCUGUUCUGAUGACGGUACCUCCUUAGCAAGCACCGGCUAACUCUGUGCCAGCAGCCGCGGUAAGACAGAGGGUGCAAACGUUGUUCGGAAUUACUGGGCGUAAAGCGCGUGUAGGCGGCUUUGCAAGUCGGGUGUGAAAGCCCUUGGCUCAACUGAGGAAGUGCACUCGAAACUGCAGAGCUUGAGGUCUGGAGAGGAUGGUGGAAUUCUCGGUGUAGAGGUGAAAUUCGUAGAUAUCGAGAGGAACACCGGUGGCGAAGGCGGCCAUCUGGACAGAUUCUGACGCUGAGACGCGAAAGCGUGGGUAGCAAACAGG